AACGAACGCUGGCGGCAUGCCUAACACAUGCAAGUCGAACGAGAUCUUCGGGUCUAGUGGCGCACGGGUGCGUAACGCGUGGGAAUCUGCCCUUUGGUUCGGAAUAACAGUUGGAAACGACUGCUAAUACCGGAUGAUGACGAAAGUCCAAAGAUUUAUCGCCAGAGGAUGAGCCCGCGUAGGAUUAGCUAGUUGGUGUGGUAAAGGCGCACCAAGGCGACGAUCCUUAGCUGGUCUGAGAGGAUGAUCAGCCACACUGGGACUGAGACACGGCCCAGACUCCUACGGGGGGCAGCAGUGGGGAAUAUUGGACAAUGGGCGAAAGCCUGAUCCAGCAAUGCCGCGUGAGUGAUGAAGGCCUUAGGGUUGUAAAGCUCUUUUACCCGGGAUGAUAAUGACAGUACCGGGAGAACAAGCUCCGGCUAACUCCGUGCCAGCAGCCGCCGUAAGAC
rnacentral:rRNA from 1 species